rnacentral:misc_RNA from 1 species
CUGACAUUCGUGCCUCGCGGUAGCUCUUUGUUACCAUACAAUGCUCGAUCCUUUUGGCUGCUACACAUCCGUGCUUGCCUUCAAGUCGUUGUUGUGCUGUCAUUGGGGCUUGCUUAUUUUGGUUAUUUAGAGACCGUUUGCGGCAUAUGAGUUGUUUUCUACGAUGCUCACGUUGAUUGGCAUACCGUCGAGCGUUGCUGAUCAUCGUUAAAGCAUUCAUUUCAUUAUGUUGUCCACUCAAAUAACUUUGAAUGUGGUUGAUCCUAUCCCUUGUUGCUUGCAUUUUGAUUCCGUUCACUAUUGGGCAUUGAAUCUUGAAAAAAAGGAUUGAUCGUUCCCGUGCCUUCGAUGCGAAAAAGGGCGAUGGUUUAAGAUUGCAGUUAUUCGAUCAGCUCCUACGUAUGGUGUCUGUGCCUAAACAAACACCAUGUCUGUCGGUUGUUGUUCUAUAACUAUGCAUGCUGUUAUAUGGAGGCGGCGAAUGAAAAAUAUAUCUCGGUGUCAAGGACACCUUGCGGAUGUGAGUUAUUUCUUGAGGCAAUCUCGCCUCUUAUCCUCGUGCAACCAUGAUUGAUCCCUUCUCGCCACUUGCUUGAUGGUGUUUCGUUGGGGCUUCUUUC